rnacentral:rRNA from 1 species
UGCGUAGGCGGAAUGAUAAGUUAGUGGUGAAAGCCCCCGGCUCAACCGGGGAACUGCCAUUAAUACUGUCAUUCUUGAGUAUAGUUGAAGUGGGCGGAAUGUAUCAUGUAGCGGUGAAAUGCUUAGAUAUGAUACAGAACACCGAUAGCGUAGGCAGCUUGCUAAACUAUAACUGACGCUCAGGCACGAAAGCGUGGGGAGUAAACAGGAUUAGAUACCCUGGUAGUCC